rnacentral:rRNA from 1 species
UCGGGAAUUUUGUCCAAUGGGGGAAACCCUGAGACAGCAACGCCGCGUGAGGGAUGAAGGCCUUCGGGUCGUAAACCUCUGUCAGGAGGGAAGAAAGCUUCACUUCGAAUAGUUGUGAAGUCUGACGGUACCUCCAAAGGAAGCGCCGGCUAACUCCGUGCCAGCAGCCGCGGUAAUACGGAGGGCGCAAGCGUUGUUCGGAAUCAUUGGGCGUAAAGCGGGUGCAGGCGGUGAGAUCAGUCGGAUGUGAAAUCCCAGGGCCCAACCCUGGAACUGCAUUCGAAACUGUCUCACUAGAGUCCCGGAGGGGAAGGCGGAAUUCCCGGUGUAGAGGUGAAAUUCGUAGAUAUCGGGAGGAACACCAGUGGCGAAGGCGGCCUUCUGGACGGUGACUGACGCUCAGACCCGAAAGCGUGGGGAGCAAACAGGAUUAGAUACCCCCGUAGUCC